GUUUAAGACACGCUCAAUGGAAUGCAUAGAAGAAAGAUGGGUAUCUGUCAAAUGGUGCCUUUAGUUUUCAACUCAAUAAUUAUCCUGCUAUUCAAAUUUAACGGUGUGGAAGCAGAGUGCUCGAAAUUUCAAGGGGAGGGGAUGAGUAUCUCAUUUAAUGGUGUUUGCUACUAUGGAUUCAAAGAAGUGAAAACAUUUUCAGAAGCUACAGAACUGUGUAGAUCUAAAGGAACGAGAAUUCCUGUUAUGGAUUCAGCAUUCAAACAAGAAAUGAUAAAAAACAUGAUCGGUUUUUUCGUCCCAGAGUAUUGGAUCAGCCUACAAUAUAAAAAUGAAAAAUGGCUGUGGGUGGAUGAUAUAAAUGAGUAUCCGAUGGCUCAACCUCGAUGGGCGACACAAGAAUUGACUGGAGAGGGUUAUAUAUACGCUACGGCCUCAGACGUUACAUGGAAUAAGAAAAAGUCUGAUGACUUGGUUACAUUUAUGUGCGAGGAUGAUGCAUCUCCACCAACAAUCACUGCAGCUAUCGGUAGUGACACAGUUACAACAUGUACGGUUAUCAGGAGCUUGAGCAACAUUAUUCGAAGUGUGAAUAUCAAAGCCGAAUCUCUAAUAGAGUGUGCAGUAAUAUGUGUGGAGAACAGUGAAUGCACAUAUUUACAGUUUUAUCAGGAAUCCGGAACCUGUUACGGUUAUAAAUCACAUUUCAGUGAUGGUUCUAUGAGCUUUAGUUGCCCACAGGGAUGCUUUCGUUGUCAAUAAUACAUAUAUUAAUAUAGAAAUUGGCACGUUAAAGGUACACCCUUCUCGGCCAGAUCGAGUCAAUUCCAAAUGUGGAUUUUUAGUUUCAAUAGGGGAAUAUUCAUUCAUGUAUAUCUAUUUAGAAAAAAAAACAUUGCUGGAUAACUGUAGAAACGGUAUCAUUAUGUUUUAAUAAAUGUUUAGUUUACCAGAAACUUUAAAUAAAUAGGACUAUGCUCAAAUUCACAUAGCCAAAACUC